AGUAAUCCAGGUCAGCUUCUAUCUAUAACUAAUUUUAUUUAGUACGAAAGGAAAAAUAAAAUAUAGCCUAUUAAAAAUUAACGCUAUUUAAAUUAAUUUAAAACAUUUACAUUUUCAAGAGAAAAUAACUU
rnacentral:rRNA from 1 species